GUGGAAGUGGGGUAGGGAGCAGGGGAAAAACACCAUUGGACCUAUCUGUUUCAAGAUUACUGUCAGGGCUAUAGGAGAGUGGGCUGGCAGGGAGCACCAGUUGGAGUAGGUUAAGAGGCUGGGUGAUUAUCUGGUGAGAGGGUCUGGGGGCAGGGAGAGGAGGAAAGUGGGUGUGCUUCAGAUAUAUGUGAGGGCAGAGCAGACAGGACCUGAUGAUGGACUGAAUGUACAGCAAGUGAGACAGAGGGAAGGGGCAAACGUGACUCCCCAGAUUUCUGAAUCAUAUUGUCAAUUACCAAAAUGAGUAAAAUUUGGGGGCGGAGGGGACAAGUUUGGGAGUUCCCUAUGGAUUUGCCCCAGGAGAUACCAACCACAAAAUCUAAGCAUCAUUCGGGUCUUUGGAUAAUGCUUCUGCUGUAGAAAGAGGGAUCAAUUAGUAUAUCUCUGUCAGCUGGCUUGUGGGAGCUGGGUCCUCAGAGCCACUCCUGUUUAUCUGUCCAGACAUCUGUCCCACCAGCCCAGGCCACGGAGCAAAAUGGGCAGGAAGAAAGUACAGGAGGAAGACACAAGAGAACAAACCACAACGCCCAUGCAAGGCAAAGGAAAGUGGAAAAAAAACAAGCCCGAGAACAGAUGGAGGAAAAGAAUCAGCAACUAACUGGAAAAGGAAGGAAAACAGAGCAGCAGAACAUGAAAGAGCAAAGUGGACUUCAAUGUAAUUAUGUUUUCAGUCCUGGAAAGAACAGCAAUAGGGGGUAUGUGUACAAAUCAAGGAGCUAUCCUCCACCAUGGUGGCCAGGCCCGUGUCCCCACACAGUGACUGGGACAGUGUCUUAGCAUCCACAAUGCCUAGAGGAGUGGGCCCCGAAUGACUGCUCAUUAAAUACGUGUGGAAGGGAGGAGAGACAUUUAUGACAAGAACCCAGGAAAUCAAGAGGAAAAGAGAGUAAGAUUAUACUUGAAGCUAGCUAGCCUCCAGGACUAGGAAACCAAAGCAAAUAAAGAGGGGAUACCAAAGCA
rnacentral:lncRNA from 12 species